CUGGCCUGCUGUGUGACUGCAGCUCUAAGUAUCUCCAGAAAUCAAAAGCCAGGUUGUGAACAUUGCAAAGGAGAAGCUUCCAAUCUUGCUCAACAUGACAGAUCAGCUGAGGAUCAACCAAGCAAUGUGGAUGGUGAUUUGACAGUAGUGAACUAUGUAGCGCUGGAUUUCCACUCAAGAAAUGCCAAAAGAUGGAAGAAUGACAGGGAGUUACCACAGGAGUGUCUGUACUCUGGCACAAGAGACCCUGAGUGACGUGAAGUCACCAUGAAGAACGAACAUCUAACAUGUUCAUAGAGUGAUGCAGGAAGGAGUCAUGAAACCAGAAAUUAGAUUAGCUUAGUACAGAGACAGCUUUUGUUUUGUGAUGUUGCCUGGAUGAACCAAAUAUAUGCAUUUAUUAUCAUUCUUAAUAUAAUUGUGUUGUUUUAGUAUUAUUAUUACUUGUGAGAUUAAUCAUGAACAAUUACUCAAAAUUUGAAAGAAAUAAGAAUGUGAAGAAAAAAAAAGUGAUAUUAGACAUUUUUGUCACUCAUAAUAUAUUCGGUUUGAUAAAACACCUGCUGUACAGUCCAAUUAUUUUUUUUCAGUUUGACAUUGUGUGUGAUUUAAAGUUGU